UGUAAUAGUGUUUGGUUAAUCAUUGUUGUUUUCGUAUUUAUUGCUACUUUUCAGUUAUAUUUCUCGUAUCUACCAAAUUGUAGAUACUUGCAUGACGCAUUUAAUGUGUGGGAUCUAUUGGUAUUGCACAGAUCCUACUACAUAAAACCUACCUGAACAUAUUGAAAUCUAAUACCUGCCAAAAUCAACCGACUCAAACAGUGUUACCGAGUUUUGAUAAAUCACCCAAAUUAUACCACUUGCAUGUAAACAAAUUCACUUUUUUGGAUCAUAGUACGUGGUGUGAAUAAGCUAACACUGUACUCAAAGAUUGACUGUAUGCUGUGCAGUCUUUUUUCUUUUCGAUGUAUUUACCAUGGUCUCGUUGAUUCUUGCCGGGCAGCUUACCAUGGUCUUCAUCCUUAGUGUCAAGUUUCCAUUAUUAAGUUCUUAUUAGUUAUAAGUAUACUUUUGCUGCAGAGUUCAUAAACAACUUUUUCAGUUUAUUGAGAAUUUUGUUACUUGGAGAGAUCCAAGAUUUUUAAAUAGGAAUACUUCAUUUCCAAGGUUUGCCACAACCUAAGAAAGAUGAUAGGAGGAGUUAUCUGCGAUGAAGAGAUGUUAUGUCUUGAAGAAAUGGAUAACUAGUUAGAUUAGCUUUUAGUGACCUAAAUGGAGGCUACUGAAAUUGUGAAAAGUGGGUAGGAUUAUUGUGUAACUGAAUUUUUUCUUAUUUGGAAAAAGGCAACUUCAAAAUAUCUAGAUCUCACUUCCAGCUAUGCAGUUAAAGAGUGUACUGCUCACAAGUGACAACACAGUAGACAAAUUGUGAUUUCGGACGGCGUGAACUUCUCUUAGUGUUGGUCCUGUUAGUUGAUGAUUUGUCUCCCAUGCCCUUAUAUCCCAAAAUGAAUGUAUUCACAUUAGUUGACUUUGGCUGCUAUAAAGUGUAUACCCUUCAUGGCGAAUCAUGGUAUUUACCUUAGGAGAUAUAUCAAUGAACUCCGUAAAUUAUUGGUUUAAACGUUCCAAUAAUGAGUAGCGGUUAAAUUAUAGAUUCCUUUUGAAUGGGAAAUUAGAGUAUGGAUUUUGGCCUUUUGGGUUUUCGAAAUAUGAGAGUCCUAACUCCUAUGUUUUGGCUUUCUCAUUGUGUUGUCUUCAGAUUUCAGUAUGUGUGGACGAACAGUUGACACUGUUUUCAUUGCGCAGUAUCUUAAAAUGUCCAACCAUCCCAGGAUUGUGCAGGAAAUGUAUAAAUCAGUGUGGAGGCUUCCUUUCAACAAAAUCUCAAUCAUACUUCAGAAGUAUAAUGUCACAAAAUAAUCAAGAGUAUUUGUCAUUAUAAUUUGUCUGCAUAUAGUGGCUUAUUUUUACUAUUUUUGCUGGUACAUGCCAGGCCAGGACUGGGCUUACCUAUCUCAGAGCUUAAACCAGCCCAUCAGGCCCACCCCGUCCGCUCUCCAAAGCCAGCUAAUGCUGGCAUGAGGAAUUGACCCCCAGACCUAUUGUCUGGAAGGUGGGGUAGAGAGCCGCUGCUCUCCCAGCUCAUCCUCGCAUAUAGUGGCUUAAUGGUUCAUUGGAACUUGGUCCUGAUCAUUUAACGUGUUGGGAAUAGUUCAUUAUGGUAAUAUAAGUUGAAUGGCAGAAUUCUCAUGCCUUUUGAUCUUUUUCUUUUUUUCGUUCUUUUUCUCCGUUGGAUGAAGGCUCUAUUUUUUCCGUGAAUAGUGUUUCUUUUCUUAAUAUUCCAUGAAGAAGUGGUGCUUGUUUCAGCUUGGCCAAUAUUAAUGCCCCAAUUAUGAGUUAGAGUGCCGAAGUAGGUUACUGAACUUGUAUUAUAUUGAAGCUGUGAAAACUUGCUCCUUUAGCUCAGAGCCCCAGAGCAGAACAAGUUCUUGCACAGGGGAUAUUGUUACUCAUGUAAGCCGUAAGGCCACUGUGCAAGACUCUUCCACUAAAGGACUUCCUUUUCAUUGGGAAGAAAAAACAAUGGGAGCGAGAUAUGCUGUGGAGGAAAUUCAAUGAUGAAAAGUAGAAAGAAUGGGUCAUUGAAGUGACAUAUGUGAGCCGGGGUUCACAUCAUCCGAAGCUUCCGCACACCUUCAAGGUGAAAGGUCUUCAAACAGGAGGUUAGUGAAAAGUAGGUUCAAGAAAUUCUUGUUUCUUAGUAGUUUGUUUGAUGCAUUGUUUUUGGACAUUAGCCAUGAAUAUGACUGCAACUUCCUCUCGCUUGCCUUCCCGAUCAAAGAAGAAAAUUUUGAUAAUUGGAAAAGCACAGUACCUUUAAAAUUGUAGGGCCUAUAUUGUGGAAUUGCAGAAAAGAAGUUUAGCAAGGGCCCAUUGUUGUGCUGGAAAGGUGUCUACAUAGUGUUAAUAGUUUCCAUGCUUUGUUUUUCCUUGUUAUGUUAUACUUUGGGGCUGAAAUAAUCAUUAACUUUUGCCUUUCUGAAGCCUUUGGUGUCCUACUUUAUUGCCAGAACUUCAUUUGAUUACUACUGAUUACCGCCAUUAGGUUUAUUCCAGCUUUCUUAAUGGAAUGAACUUUAUUCAUUGACUUUACCCCGAAUUCGAAUUGUGCUGCCCUGUGAUCAUGGCAGAACUUUAAAGUUUGUUGUUGAAUGUUAUGCAGUGAAGAAAAUUCUGGUUAGAACAUAAACUACCCAGAAUAGUCUUUUCUUUCUAACUUUUUCGUUUUUAUGACCAGAGAGUUGCAUAGUACAUUGGCAUUAUUCAAUUCAGCUACUAAUCAUCAUUGACCUUUCUGGUGGGAUGGCAAUUCUGUGGAUAUACUUGUUGCUUUCUAUUAUUGCAUGCUUCUUAGUGGAAGACAUAUUCCCUGGUUUACUGUAAUUGUUGCAACUUGCAAAUGUAUUGUUGUAUAAAACCAGAGCAUUACAUCAGCAUGCUCUUGAACUAAUAACAUUCUGCCUAGAGCUGGCAAAAUUUGUCCCAAUGCAUACCUAACCGAGAAUAAUGGAUUAGGGCUGAGUUUUUCUAGCCCUUGUAAUUAAUUGGUUAAAUACUUAUAUGGGUUACAUGGUUGGAUAGGCUGGUUUAACUUUUUUUGAACUAGUUUUACAAAUGAAACUGGUUUGGGUUAAGGUAUUAA